rnacentral:rRNA from 1 species
GGGUGAGUAACACGUGGGAAUAUGCCUUUCGGUGGGGAAUAACGUCGGGAAACUGACGCUAAUACCGCAUACGCCCUUCGGGGGAAAGAUUUAUCGCCGAAAGAUUAGCCCGCGUCCGAUUAGCUAGUUGGUGAGGUAAUGGCUCACCAAGGCGACGAUCGGUAGCUGGUCUGAGAGGAUGAUCAGCCACACUGGGACUGAGACACGGCCCAGACUCCUACGGGAGGCAGCAGUGGGGAAUAUUGGACAAUGGGCGAAAGCCUGAUCCAGCCAUGCCGCGUGAGUGAUGAAGGCCCUAGGGUUGUAAAGCUCUUUCGACGGGGACGAUGAUGACGGUACCCGUAGAAGAAGCCCCGGCUAACUUCGUGCCAGCAGCCGCGGUAAUACGAAGGGGGCUAGCGUUGUUCGGAAUUACUGGGCGUAAAGCGCACGCAGGCGGUCUAGAUAGUCAGAAGUGAAAGCCCUGGGCUCAACCCGGGAAUUGCUUUUGAUACUGCUAGGCUAGACUCACGGA